GACGAACGCUGGCGGCGUGCUUAACACAUGCAAGUCGAACGAAGAGCGAUGGAAGCUUGCUUCUAUCAAUCUUAGUGGCGAACGGGUGAGUAACGCGUAAUCAACCUGCCCUUCAGAGGGGGACAACAGUUGGAAACGACUGCUAAUACCGCAUACGAUCUAAUCUCGGCAUCGAGGAUAGAUGAAAGGUGGCCUCUACAUGUAAGCUAUCACUGAAGGAGGGGAUUGCGUCUGAUUAGCUAGUUGGAGGGGUAACGGCCCACCAAGGCGAUGAUCAGUAGCCGGUCUGAGAGGAUGAACGGCCACAUUGGGGCUGAGACACGGCCCAGACUCCUACGGGAGGCAGCAGUGGGGAAUCUUCCGCAAUGGACGAAAGUCUGACGGAGCAACGCCGCGUGAGCGAUGACGGCCUUCGGGUUGUAAAGCUCUGUUAAUCGGGACGAAAGGCCUUCUUGCGAAUAGUGAGAAGGAUUGACGGUACCGGAAUAGAAAGCCACGGCUAACUACGUG
rnacentral:rRNA from 1 species